CGUAAGCGUCGCGUAAGCGUCACGUAUAGCUGCGUAGCACAUCUAUUUUAUUUUGGCGCCCAUGUUAUCCAAUCCGCCCUUAAUACUGGGUGUGUUUUUUUUGUGUUGCUGUGGUGGCUGCAUUAUUACGAUAAUACGCCAAUCAUUACCAAAGUUAAAUCAAAUGAAUUGCUAUAUCAUCCAAUCUUGUCACGUGACUUUGUUUAUAUUCUCACACACAGCACUGCAUGUGAUAGAGAGGGAAAGCUCUUCAGCCUUCAAGGAUUGUGGAGUACAGGGAGUAUAAGGUUCACCUGUACGGGACCAGCACUGAUGAUAUUGAUGAGGUGCUGAAACGAGGACGGAUGUGCAUCAUCGAUGUUGAACCACAUGAGGAAGACUUUGUGGAGCUGGAGGAGGCGUCCCGGCUGAUGGAGGCCAAGUACAAACAGCUGUUUGAUAGCGUGCUGGUGAACGACGAGUUCACCAGAACCAUCAU